CACCCCAAGUAGACCCCCCUCCCACCCGAGUCGUUCCAGGGGGGAUCCCUUUUCCCAUUCCAGAGGGUCCCUGUUCCCAUUCCCAAGGUUGUUCCCAUUCCAGGGGGUCCCUGUUCCCAUUCCAAGGGCUGAUCCCAUUCCAGGGGGUCCCUGUUCCCAUCCCAAGGGGUUCCUGUUCCCAUUCCCGAGGUUGUUCCCAUUCCAGGGGGUCCCUGUUCAUAUUCCAAGGGCUGAUCCCAUUCCAGGGAUCCCUUUUCCCAUUCCAGAGGGUCCCUGUUCCCAUUCCAAGGGCUGAUCCCAUUCCAGGGAUCCCUUUUCCCAUUCCAGGGGGGUCCCUGUUCCCAAUCCAGAGGGUCCCUGUCCCCAUUCCAAGGCCUGUCCCCAUUCCCAGGGGUCCCUCUUCCCAUCCCAAGGGUCCCAGUUCCCAUUCCAAGGGGUCCCUGUUCCCAUUCCAGGGGUCCCUGUUCCCAUUCCAGAAGAUCCCUGCUCCCAUUCCCAGGUCUAUCCCCAUUCCAGAGGGUCCCUGUCCCCAUUCCCAGGAGUCUCUUCCCACAUUCCAAGGGGUCCCUGUUCCCAUUCCAGGGAUCCCUUUUCCCAUUCCAGGGGGUCCCUGCCCACAUUCCAGAGGGUCUCUGUUCCCACUCCAAGGCCUGUUCCCAUUCCAGGGAUCCCUUUUCCCAUUCCAGGGUCCCUGCCCACAUUCCAGGGGGUCCCUGUCCCCAUUCCAGGGGGACCCUGUCCCCAUUCCAGAGGGUCCCUGUUCCCAUUCCAAGGCCUGUUCCCAUUCCAGAGGGUCCCUGUUCCCAUUCCCAGGUCUGUCCCCAUUCCCAGGAGUCUCUUCCCACAUUCCAAGGGGUCCCUGUCCCCAUUCAAGGGGUCCCUGCCCACAUUCCAGAGGGUCCCUGUUCCCAUUCCCAGGUCUGUCCACAUUCCAGAGGGUCCCUGUUCCCAUUCCAGGGGUCCCUGUUCCCAUUCCCAGGUCUGUCCCCCAGUGCCACCACAACCCCCAGUGACCCCCAAGGGCACAGGGACCCCCCCAGUGCCCCCAGGACCCUCAGGGACCCC
rnacentral:lncRNA from 1 species